AAAUAGCCCUCGCGCCACUGUCCAGAACAGACGAUAAGAAUUUCACAGGACUUUCGUCUGGAAGUUUGCGGUUGACAAUGCGUUUUUACCUACAUGAUCACAGUAACUUUCCCAGCAAGGCUGUUAGCUAAAGAAGGUGCCCUCCCCGCCCUGGAGCCUGAGAGAGGACGAGCUGCAGCCUUGUCCAAGAGAAAGGCCCGGGGGACCCAGCCAUCCACCUCCCUGCCCACCACCACCCUUCCUUCCAAGGAGCACGCAAGACCAAGCCUAGGACUCGCUACAAAGCUCGGUUCCUAACUAGACCGGCGGGGACUGACUAGGAAUGGAAUCCAGGCAAACACCUGGCCGAUCAUAAUCAGGUGCAAACCAUUCUGAUUCUAUUUUUUAAUGCCAUUCUAAUUUAUAAUAUGUUAAACUCUGAGAAAAGCCUAGAGAGAGCCACUUUGCUAAGGCGUGCAUUAUUCAAUUUUUCCUUAUUCCAGUCAUAAUAUUCUGGGUCCUCCUCUCAUAAUAUUCUGGGUGCCUCCUGCAAGGCAAGCUUUCUGCCGUCCUAGUCUCUCCAUUCACAAUCACUCGCUUAGGGCAUUGGCAUAGAAAGUAACACACUGAGUCUUAUGCACAACACGCAGGAGGUGUCCUCUUUAACCUUCAGGAAUGUGUAUUCUAGUGCCGGAGGUGGGACUUCUGAAUGUGAAAGGCGGGAUCCUCUGCUGGGACAGGGCUUGGUGAGUGCAGAGGCUGCG
rnacentral:lncRNA from 1 species